rnacentral:lncRNA from 1 species
AGUCGUCUUCUGUAUGUUGAUUUAUUUUCCUUCUCUUUCGCAGGGCAACUCGUACACUUCCUCUCUCCUCUUUCCUAAAGAAGACAAAUACAUCUUUUUUCUUCUUUCUCUCUUGUGAGCCGCGUCCUUUCCAAAUCAAACUUGGGGGAAUAAUGUGUAAUAAGAGCAUGAAAAACAGAAACAACUGCCAUAUCUUGGGAGCAGCACCCUCUAUGUUCUCUGCAAUCAAAAGGAUCCCUGCCGCUGUCAAAGGUACAAUGAAAUGGGCUUUGGGGCUUUUAAGGUUGGAGAAGGGAAUUUCUGAUCGCUUGUUUGCUGCCACAGGGCAGCUGCUUGUCCCCAGAGGAGGCGAUGGCUGCGCACCGUUGAGAGAAGGCUGCACGAAGACAUCUUCAGAUGCAGGAAUUCAGCUGGAUAGCAGCGGCUGAGGAGAGCUGGGAGCCCCACUCCUGCCUGCUGGGAGCUUGUGGGUUGCUGGCAGCCCCAGGGGGACACAGCACCGUGCUUGGUGGGAGGAGAUGCAGAGGCAGCACACACAAGUGGCUGAGCCCCGCAGAGGAUUGGAGCAAGAGACCUACCUGUCCCCAGCUAUGCAGAGCACGUGUCCGUUUGGGGAUCAGUCCCUGCCUUGAAAGAAGGGACAAGAGGGAGUCACGGAAGCCGAUCUCCCCACGUGUUGCGGUGCCUGGUGUGCCGGGAAGUGUUCUGCUCAGCUGGCCGCUGACCUGCCCAGCGUGUGCCGCGCCGUGA